GAGAUGAAGCCUGAUAGAUCCGCCCAGGUGUAGGUGAAAUGGUAGAGCCUCAGGGGUAAUAGAUUCUGUGCUCUCAUGCUGAAGUUUAGUGCUGUGUCUUGACUGGCUCUCUAGCAUCAGUGUGAUGGGCUGCUCCUGGUACAGUUACAAAGUGAACAUGCUUCUUGCUGCUCACAUUUAUCCCUAAUCUGGAGGGCAACCUGGAGCUAGGUAAGAACAGAACAGCCCUUUGACUUCAACGCAUGGACAAAGGACAACAAAGGCAAAGGAGUCUCGCUCUGUCACCCAGGCUGGAAUGCAGUGCAGUGGCGCAUCCUCAGCUGUCUGCAAUCUCCAUCUCCCAG
rnacentral:lncRNA from 1 species